AGUGAACGCUGGCGGUAGGCCUAACACAUGCAAGUCGAACGGCAGCACAGUAAGAGCUUGCUCUUACGGGUGGCGAGUGGCGGACGGGUGAGGAAUACAUCGGAAUCUACUUUUUCGUGGGGGAUAACGUAGGGAAACUUACGCUAAUACCGCAUACGACCUACGGGUGAAAGCAGGGGAUCUUCGGCCCUUGCGCGAUUCAAUGAGCCGAUGUCGGAUUAGCUAGUUGGCGGGGUAAAGGCCCACCAAGGCGACGAUCCGUAGCUGGUCUGAGAGGAUGAUCAGGCACACUGGAACUGAGACACGGUCCAGACUCCUACGGGAGGCAGCAGUGGGGAAUAUUGGACAAUGGGCGCAAGCCUGAUCCAGCCAUACCGCGUGGGUGAAGAAGGCCUUCGGGUUGUAAAGCCCUUUUGUUGGGAAAGAAAAGCAGCAGGUUAAUACCCCGCUGUUCUGACGGUACCCAAAGAAUAAGCACCGGCUAACUUCGUG
rnacentral:rRNA from 1 species